ensembl:lncRNA
GGAUUCCAAAUUAGAUUGUCACCUCAUUCUCAACAGGCGUUCAUGAAUUUCCCGGUGGUAAUAAAGAGUCGAAAAGAAAUAACAAAAUUUCAUAAAGGCUUGCACUAGUUCCAAGCUGUGUGGAGACAUCAUGGAAAGGUGGUUCUCCUCAAAAGCUGCCGAGAUGACUACAGAAAACAAAUGGAGAGGAUCUUGACUCUGCCUCCAGCUGUGGCAGCUUUUCCACCUAGAGAGAGGGAGUGGCUGAAGGAUGAUGGCCGUUCCCUUCCCUGCCUCCUCGAAGAGACAUUCACUGCCCGCUCUGUGCUCCCAGUGUCAGAGAAAGGACAGGCCCUUUCCAUACUAAGGUUUUGGCAAGUACUAUCUGAACUUUUAAGAAGCUGAAAGACCCUGCAGGGAUUCUGCUGCCAAAGUUUUUGAGUUGCCAAAUGUUUGGGAGAUUCCACAUGUAGAGGAACGAAUAAGACAUGGUCCCUGGUGUCCCAGCUGCUUCAGCAUGCCAACACCUCCGCCAUGAACUCUGUUACAACGAGCCCACACAAGGCUCCCCACUACCACGCCAGCCCCUCUGGAUGUUUCUGGAACCCACCUGCUCUCUGACCUCACUUCAAGUUCCUUUCAGAAGAUCUAGAUUUUCUUAUGCACCACCAACCUCUGCAGACUUGACUUGCAUUUUUCCAUUUCUUCCUUAAUUCCCAAAGCUCUCUUUUUACUUUGCACCCUGAUUCUCCUUUGCUUCCAGCUUUUCUCACGUACAGAUCUGGCUGCAAAAAUCUGGUUGCACAACAAUGCAAAUGUAUUUAAUGCCACUGAAUGUACACUUAAAAUGGUUAAAAUGGUAAUUUUUGUGUUACGUGCACUUUACCACACACACAAAAACAUGUCAUGUUCAACCAGAGCCCCCAUCCCUGGCCCUGGAAGCAGAGGUUAGUCACUUGAAAAGGAACUCAGACUCAGGUACAGGAAAUACAAUUCAUACAUCCAUAAAUUCAGCAAACAUUUAUUGACCAUCUACUGCAUGCUAAACCCCACACUGGGAACUAAGGAUUCAGGUAAGACCAUGAAAGAUAUAGUACUAUCUUUAUAAAGUUUUUAUUCUAGCCUGGGAGGUAGUCAUCAAGCAAAUAAGCUUAGAAUUAAAUAAUUCACUAAAACAGAGAUAAAUGCUAUGAAGGGAAACUCAGGGUCCUAUGAGAGCACAUAACAGAUGGACAGACGCUAGUUUGGGGGUUCAAGGAGGCUCUCCUGAUAAAGUGAUGUUGAAACUGACACUUGAAAGAUGAGUAGCCAUUUCCUAGGCAAAGGGGUGUGGUGGGGAUGGUGAGGGAGUAGAACAUUCUAGGUAGGAUGGAACCACAUGUGUAAAGUAAAAGACUUUUCACAAAUCGUCAAAGUUAAUGUGGUCCUUUUGAAGGACUGCUGGAAGCCAGUGAGGGAAUGAGUGGAGAGAGGCAAGACAUUAGGCUGGCUGCUGACAAAAGCACUGACUCCAGACGCACUAAAGUUAAGGCUACAUAAAGGCGUACAGAGGAAAGAGUCAUGGCUUCUCACUGGGGAAAGGAUGGGUUGUAAAAACCUCCUGAAGAGUUAAUAUUUGGAAGGAAUCAGAGAGGUUGACAGCUGAAGAAGAAAGCACAGGCAUUCCAGGUGCAGAGGCUGCCUAAGCAAAGGCACAGACACAGGAAAAUGCUGGGGGCAUUUGGGGACAGGAAGUAGUCCUAUUUUGGUGAAGUACAGAAAGGAUAAGGAGGGGACAAUGGGGAUAAACAUGAAAGCUAAAAAGGAAAAUUAGAAGAGCUUCAUUUCAGUCUUUAGCCAGGACAGCUGGUCCCAGAAUAGCGGGUAGGAGUGUCCUACCCACUGUCUCUCAGGCUCAUGUGUCUCCUCCUACCUCCCAUGGCUGGCCCUGCAAAUCAAAACACCAGCCCGCGAGCAUCUGUAACAAGGCAAUGCCACAACUGAGACAAACUUGGCUCUCCCAGGCCUCAGGUCACAGUGCCAGAGGGAGCCCUCCCAUCUGGUUAAACAGCUUGGAAGAAGUACCAAAAUUAGCCAGAGUACAAAUGAUGCGAGGUUAGAGGGUCUGGGAUCAGUACAGCACCAGAGUGUAGAUACCCGUGGACCACAUGGCUUCUUCAAGCCUUUGGUGGGAUGCAGGGAAUUAAAGAGUUUGCAUGGGAAACCACCAGGUGCCCAGCUUGGUAGGCAGAAGCAUUCUCAGCAGCGUCAGUUGGCCCCUGGCUUGACAAGGGGAUUCUGACAAGCUUUGCCUUUUGCCAUUUUGUGUUUAUCUUUGGCUCCAAAGACUCUGCAUUGGCUGUUUUCUGUAAACACACUCUCUGCAAGUCGGAUUACUCACUUGUCCAGAUGGAGGGCCAAGUGUGAACAUGUAAGAUUACUAUUAGCCUGUUUUUCCUGCUAACAAUAAAGACCGUUUCCCCAGAAAACUGUUGCUGGAAGUCGGCCUGCUGGGACACAAGCCUCCCUCAUGCAAUUCGCAUCUGUGGUAGAAACCCAGCUCCAGCUCCUUGGGACCCUCAUCCUCAGAAGCUCGCUAAGGAAUCCCUGUCCUCGUCUGGCUAAGGGCCAGAGCUGGAGCGCACUCCCACAGAGGCAAGCCCAGCCCUGAACCUAAGGGGGACAUUCCCAGGGGACCAGGAAACCCUGUCAGCACUGAGGUCAUGGGGCCAGGCCUGCAGAAACAUGAGGGUCUCCAUUUCUGCCAUCGUAAAUUGUGGUGUUGGAAGGAACCAUAAAGAUUUUUUAGUUCAACUCCAUUUCACAAAUGAGAAAACUGAGACCUAGAGAGAGGAAGGGACCUGCCUACACAGAGGCAACUCCUUGUGCAAUUCCAGGCUGAUUGCUUCAGGAUUCAAAUUUCCGUGAAGAAAAGUUGGUCACGACCAGCACAUUUGUAAAAAUGGAGUUUUUAACCAUUUCGCUAAUGAAAGACCUAAUAUUCUUCUAUAAACAAACAAAAAAUCUUAUAGAAAGAUCUCUUUGGUGACUUUUCUAAAACUGAGGGUGUGAAGAAAUUAGAGGCAUUUUUCUAGUAUGGGAAUACAGGUUUAGCAUUACAGGUCAUUAUAAGGAUUGAAUGGCCUCAAGUAUUAAAAAGCAAAAUAGAAUAGUUCUCCUGAACCAUCUAGAGACUGGGCUGUUGGCUCUUCAGGGGUGAAAUUUUACCCAGAAACUAUACUCAUGGUCCAGGGCCUCUGCAUGAAACAUCCCCAACCUGGCCUCCUCAUCGCUAUAACUACGCCCACCCUCCUUCUCCCAUCUUCCUAGUAUAAUUGUAUCACAAUUAUUCUUACGAUGCUGUAAACGUAGUUGAUUGGUGAGCCAGGAGCAUGUUCUGAUUGCUUUUUUGUUUCUUGGGCUUUUCCUCCCAGAGUUGCCUCUUUCUUCCCCUUCUUUGGCUAUUUAAAUUCCAUGCUAAGUUUUUCCAUACCCUGAACCAGCUCUGUGAAAUGCCUCUCCAUUCAGUUUUCCGCUAGGAUAAAUGAGUCGAAUAACCUACAAUUCCAUUUUGCCGCUGGAAGCAUCCCUUGGGAGCAUUUUAGAUUAUCCUUUGUAGUGACUUCAAUUCCUCCCCUAUAAGAAAGGUAAGGAUCUGCCGACCACUCUCCCCGGCCUUGCCCCAGAAGCCUGCUUUUUAGAAAACCAAUGCCAUGAUAUUUAAGUGCUAGGGAUACUUCCUCUCCAGCCUUCUAGAAAAAUAACGUUGGAAGAAGCAAAGAUCCUCUAGUCAUAUACAGCUCGUUUGGCCUCAGACCGUGUGGAGUCCGCUGACUUGUGUGCCCACAGGGGUGUCACAGAGAGUGUGAUGGCUUCAUGUCUGAAGGAAUCCUGCCUCUGCCACCUGUAAGCUGUCACAAAGGGCCUGACUCUGAGCUUCCUUGUCCUCACUCUGUGCAAUGGAGGCAAGAACGCCAUUCUAAACACCUAUAAGAUAAUAGAAUGUCAAAUCACCUAGCAGAGAUCCAGAUACACUAUUGAUACUGUAUUAAUAUUUAUUGAAUUGAAAAGCAUGAACUUAGUCCUCCUGAUUUAGCCUUCUGGUAAGACAGACCUAAGACGCCUUAACAUUCAUACAUCUGUCUUGAGAUUAUGCACGCAGAUUCCUCUGAUACAUGGAAUUUACCAACUUUCUGAAAUCUCCUCUUUUAAGAAGUCUCCAAGCACAAUGGUUUUAGGGGACUUGAAUGCCAGGGUUAGCGAUGGCUCUGCCAACGCUUUAUUCAUAGGAAACUCAAAUAGUUAGAUUGGUUCUUUGAGAGCCAUUUACCCAAAAAUAUCUGCCUGAAUCCAAGGGAAAAACAAUGGCCCAAUCUCAUUUAUCAUCAACAUCGAUUAAUAUGAAACAAACACCCAUGAGAUAAAUAUAUGGGGAAUUUAAUUUGCAGUGUCAAACAAGAGGCCAAUCUUAUCUUUAAUCACCUACUCAGCCUUUCACCCAUUAUUUCCAUCUUUAAGACGCGCAGUGUAGGCCCACGUUGAAAGUGGCUACACCUCUCUUAAGUUGCCUCUGACCGUUAAAACCUCUGUUUCUGAGUCUCAAAUGGAAAAUUUCAGGUUAUGGAGCUGAAAGUUUCAAAUGGAAUGAGACUCUUUCUAAUUCCCAAACUAGCCUUCUUAAGGUGAAAACAUGUGGUGUGCUCUUCUCAGAUUGCGUCCUGACCGUGUUCCCUCCAACUACGGCAAGGAGCUGGAGACAAGCCACACCCAGCCUCUCGCUCUGUGCUUGGCCAGGGAACUGGUCAUUCUGCUCCUGGUUGGAUGGAGUUUGACAGGAAGUCAAACCAAUUCAUUCAACACUAAGAAGAAAUUAUCUUAAACGGAACUCAAAAAAUCCUUCCUAAAAUCUAUUAUGUUGAAAUGAUUAAUGCAGCAAUAAUUUUUAACACAUAAGGUCACCAAACUUCUUGGUCUUCUGUAAAAAGUUGUGCCUAAAAAAAGGUUUAUUAUGGAUUUCCAUCAACUUCCAGCAGAAAAUAUAGAUAUGGUAAUAUUCUAUAAGCCUGGACACUAGCAUUCUUUUGUUAACAUAAUUGUAAUAGGAAAAUUGAACAAAAUGCAGAAUCAUAAAUAUCAUUUCAUAUGGCAGGCAAUCAGACACAUGGCACAGUGGAAGAACAUUGAACUUGAAUUCAUGCCUGCUUAGCCAUUGCCUAGCUCUGUAGCCUCGGGUGAGUAUUUCAACAUCUCUGUGCUUCAGCGUCUUCGCCUAUGAAACAAUAUCUCCCCAGCACAGACUUGUCUUGAAGAUGUAACCAGAUGCUAUAAGUGAAAGUGAUUUGUGAAAUGCUAAAGUUUGAUCCUAAUAUAAAUACUAUUUUUGUAUUAAGUAAGUCCAAAAUGAGGGUAUUCCUUAGUUGGCAUUUUCUAUUUUCUAUUUGAGAUGGCAUGAGUUAGAAAGAUGAACAUUUGGAAAGAUGUUUAUCUCUAAGUUACUUUGAGGCUCCUCAGACCACACCAGUGCACCAAGAUGAUGCUCAUCCAAGCCCCCACAACAAGCACCCUAGAUUGCAUAAGCCAGCUCUUGAGUUCGAACUGGAAAAGGUAGUUGAUCUUAGUUGACCUUGCAAUGUGUUCCCCUCUAAUCUUGUGCUACCGUGUUGCACAAAUACAACCAACUUCACUUCUCUCCAUACCCCAUUCCUCCUGCUUAGAAAGGGGCCAUGCCUUUGUAUAGCUCUCACAUUCUAUACUGCAUCUGGUACCUGGUGAAUGAUCUUUAUUUACGUCUUAUAUUUGUGCUUUGAUGAUGACCAGGCAAUUUUUCUCUCACCUAGUUCAGUUUCCUGAUUUUCAAUAGAACUCCCAAGAGUAAUCUGGUUUUGUCUCUGUCUCCCUGUCUUUUGGUCUCCCUAUCUCUUUGUUUCUGUUUCUUAAUCUCUGUCUCUUAUCUCUCGGUCUCUUUGUCCUUCUUUCAUGCAAAUACAUGCACACACACAUACACGUUGAUCCAGGCCUUCAGUAUCCUAAUUUAGAGUCUAUGUUUUCCAUGUAACAUUUUUGACUAAGCAUCUCCUGAGCCCCAAUUCACAAUGCAGCAUUCUUCGAUUCUUCCCAGGCACGUUUCAAGUGCAGGCUCUGGAUUAUUUUGAUUGUUGUGUUAUCUGCACACAGACACCACAAAAGAAAUUACUCACUCUUGGAGAGAGAUGCCAAACCCCUAAUUUAAAAACACCAAAUGAGUAAUUCCCAAAGCAUUAUUUCUCUUCCAAACCCAGAACAUUUUAAUUACCUCGAAAUAAACAAAGAGCCCUUGCAAGGCUAACUCAAAUUGUUUAUUCAAAAUUUUCCCUCACCUAUGUGCUAGGGAUUUCCACCUGCCCCACAAUUCCUCAUGACUUGAGCCUUUUUUCACUCUGCCACCCAUCUGGCAAAGAACUCACUAACAAGGGAAGUAAACUUUGCACCCAUUACUACUCCUAAAUUGGCAUGAAGUCUAAAGUAAGCACAGAAACAAGCAAUGGCCCAUCUCUUUCUUUCAUUGUGCAUUGGCUAGGCCAAAAUGGUCAGGCUUCCUGCUGUGGCUACAUAUUUAGUUGUGAUAAAGAGCAAAGAAAACCAAACAGCUUUAAGGACUGAAGUGGUACUCUCCCGACCAAACGAUUUGUGCUAUUAGUGUUGCAAUCUGACAAGCACAACACAUUUCCCUUUCCAGAGGAGGCAGAUGACAAGAACAGAGGCACAAGGGGCUGAAAACAGUUCAGAUGCAGUUGCGAGGAAGAAAGACCUGUUGAUGGAGUUGUUCCCAAACACGCAUCCAGCCUAACUCCAAACUGCUCUUUGCAAACAAAAGACUCCCACCUCCCUCAAGGAGUGAUGAGACAAUGGAGUCCCUGUCACGCCACUGCUGCUCCGAAGGAACUGAAUUCUGGAAACAGAUUGUGGAGUGUUUACCAGCCGACAAGUAAAACUGAGGAACGUAAUCCCUCUGUGCCAUCCAUAAUCCUCUCUAAUGUGUCAAUGCCCUUAGAUUAAAUAGACUUUUCCAACCCAAUAGACUGACCUAAGUCAGGGGACAAUCAGGAAUUUGGGCCCUUCAUCUUUUCAGCAAAGAAUAAUAAAUUGUUUAAAAUCUCAUUUAUA